UGUUCCCUUUCAAACCUCUGAUGAAGGCAACUGGGUGAACCUUUGGGGGAAAAGAAAAAUCAAAACCCAGUACAGAACUUGUUUUGGACCUGUUCCCUCUCAACACUCCCUGGUGAUGUCAGCGGAAGUUCUCUGGAGCCCAUCACUCCGUAAACAUGGGAUGAAGAUUCUGUUGCUCCAUACUGUGCAAGGUGGUUGGCGAAGAAAAUUGUGACGUUUUCCAGCUCUUUUUACAGUUUAACAAGUCAAAUACAAAACUCAGGGGACUUCAUAACCCUCAUGAUGGAGCUCUGAAUAGCAUCCCAUUAUUGAUUGGAAAUACUGCAUUGGAAUGCCGCGGAAGAGCCCCAAACCAAAACUUUUCAGAUGCCUGAAGCUGUGAGCUUUCCAAUUAGGCUGAAAGUUUCCCCUGAUAACCAGUAGUGCUGAAGCUUUUAAUAUUGUUUUGGCCUAUCAGUUCUUAGCACGAUUUUCUAGUUAUGAAGGCCAGCGGAUCACUCGGAGUCAGCGAGAUAGCUCGUACAUCCCACUUGCACACUUUCUGAUCAAAUAUGCUAUCUGAAAAAAAAGGUAUCUUCGGCUUCACGUAAACUGAUCAUAAUUGGGAGCAGUUCGUCUUUCCCUUCUUCAAUGCUAUCUCCUCCUGUGCAGCCUAUUUUGCAUCCAGAGAUACAUUUGAAAGUCGAAAUCCCUUCGAGCUAAAUAUUCUAAACUGACAGAAGAAUUUCUAGUGGCACACCAGCCUGGAGCCAUGUUUUUAUGAGGACAUCACUUUCUAUUUCUGAGCUUCAGUGUGCACUCUGGCUUCCUUAUUGCUGGGAGCCAUGCCACAUCAACUUGCCUCCUUCUCAGCUUUUAAUGUUUUUUUAAUGGAGUCCAGUUUUCCGCCUAAGUUAUGGCUAGCCUUCUGACAAACCAUCAGACACCUAAGCAACCGGAAUGGAGGUGUCCAGAUGUGACACGGUGUGGGGAUGCAAAUUCAUCUAGGACAGUGGUAUUUCUGUGAUAAAGGAAGAAGUCUAUGUUCUUGAAAGUCAGCAAUCUAUACAACUUGGAAGACAUCAGCAGAACAUUUGGUAAUUAAAUAUGCCCUCAACUGAGAAAUAAUGCCUGGAGUUGUCCUGCUGGGGUUUCAAGAGGACAGUGGAUGGUGUAUGGAUGAUGGCAAUGACUAGAUUGUGAACCACAUGUGGGAAAGCCAUAAUCCGUGGCUUUGAUGUCAAGAAGCCACAGCCCACCAAUCCAAUGAUAUCAGCAUGAUGGAAAAAAAGGAUGAGAGAAGAAAGAACCUGGAACAAGGGAGAAGGGAUGAAGAAGGAUGGAGAUCAGGAACAUGGCCAACCUGGAUUCUCAUUUGUAACUAGGGAGUAAGGGCUUGCCUUCAGAAGCUUGCAUGUCAUAUUUAACUGGUGCCUUCCUAUAACAUCUUGACUUAAUAAAGAGACUAGCAAAAGGAAAAGAAGAAAAAUGAAAGAAAAAAAUCCGCAGCAAGACAAUAAAAAGUUUCCUCUUCACACCCACCGCCGUGAGGGUUUUUCCUUUGUGCCUCAUGGCUUAUCCCACUGAAACGCAUCAAUUUUUGCUUUUAUGCUGGAAAUGUCCAAAAAACAUCUGAAGCUUCCCAGCCACCCCUUGGGGGUGAGAACGUUUCACGGUGUGUCUCCAGGGAAGGCUAGGGGGCCAGGGUCGGGUAGAGACAAGGCUUUCUCCCCUUCACAGGGGAACAAAGGACAGAACCUCAGAGUUCUUGACCCAACGUGUGACCUUGGGCCCAAGGCAAAACAUUUUAUCUCUGGGUCCUAGUGACAUAAGCUCUCUGGGCUCUGUGAUUGUGCUCUAGGAUGUGAUCAAAAACCUUUGAUGGAAUUACUGCCUCCUCUCUCUCUCUCUCUCUCUCUCUCUGCCCGGCCAUUUAUUAUUCUGUAUAUUUUCGAGAGCUGUGGGAAACUUUCAUAACCAAAGCCUAAGCCAGGCGAAAACUUGUUCUAUUUGGAAUUUGUAAUGAAGUCAAAACAUGGCCUGGAUUUUCUGAAAGGCUCCUUUGGCUGCCUGCGACAGCCCCAGGGCACAAUCAGACGGGGAUGGAGCAGGCCUGGGAGCAGAUUUCGUUACCAAGAAUAGGACACAACAAUAUUUGCCUCCCAAACACCGCGGCUGCUAUUUACCUUCUCAGCUGGAAGAAGUGAGAGAUAAAUGCAGAUUUCACAUAAAGUGCAAAUACCAAUUCUUUCAUUUCUAAUUUGGGGGAUUUUUUUCCCCCCCUCUGAGCUCCCUCUAAACAAAAGGUUAGGGAGAGUUUUUAGCAUAUUUGAUUUCCUGACCUAAGGGAAGAAAUUCUUUAUUUCAGAACUUUUGACCCCCAAAGAGCUCUUACUUUUGCCUGAAAGCUUGAAUAAAAAUGGUUAGACAUGUGAAGCGA